AGAGUUGGCCUUUAGUAUCUGAGAGUGCAUGUUGGAUCCAUUCCGAAAUUCUUUGUCCCCUACCACUGUGGAAGCAUUGAUUUGAAUGCAGAGUUGAACCAAAGGGACUCAAAUUCAUGUUCUGGAUGUUUUUGACUUUAAUGAGGCUGACAAGGAGAAGGGUGGUGAUCUACCUGGAUCUGGUAAUCGUUGAUUUCAUUUUAUUAUUUUGAUUUAUUUUAUUUAUAUUCAUUUCAUCGAUAUUAAUUUCAAAUUUAAUUGUUGUAACCAUACAUGAUACAACAUCUACCUCUGUUGCAGUAUGACUUCACCAUAUUGGACCCCGACCCACCAUUGCCAUUUUCCAUAGUCUCAAUCCUAAUUCCAAGCCGAAAUUCAAAUGAUAUAUUCUCAAUGUCGCAUCUUGAUCCCCAUCUCAUCUUGAUUUUAUAAUCUCAUGACUCAUAGCAGGCAGUAUUAAAUUCUAUUUUAACCCUUGGCCACCCGCCUCAAAUGUCAAAGUCAAAUUCAAAGUUUCCCAUUGUAACUUCUAUAAUUUAUGUUCAAUUGUAUUUAGAUUUUACAUAUUCACUUCUUUGCAAUGUUGAUACAAUCACAAUGCCCCUUUUAUGUUUGUAAUUUUAUAAUUAUUCUCUCUCAAUUUGUAUUAUUGUAAUAGUUUAGUUAUUA